UGGGGAAUAUUGCACAAUGGGCGAAAGCCUGAUGCAGCAACGCCGCGUGGAGGAUGAAGGCCUUCGGGUUGUAAACUCUUGUCUUCUGGGACGAUAAUGACGGUACCAGAGGAGGAAGCCACGGCUAACUACGUGCCAGCAGCCGCGGUAAUACGUAGGUGGCAAGCGUUGUCCGGAUUUACUGGGCGUAAAGGAUGCGUAGGCGGAUAUUUAAGUGGGAUGUGAAAUACCCGGGCUCAACCUGGGUGCUGCAUUCCAAACUGGAUAUCUGGAGUGCGGGAGAGGAAAGUGGAAUUCCUAGUGUAGCGGUGAAAUGCGUAGAGAUUAGGAAGAACACCAGUGGCGAAGGCGACUUUCUGGACCGUAACUGACGCUGAGGCAUGAAAGCGUGGGGAGCAAACA
rnacentral:rRNA from 1 species